ACGACAGGAGAAAGCCCCAGAGCUCGCUUUCGGGCUAGGUCGGACCCCUCGUCCCCUCUCCCCACAUCCCCAUGCCCCUGACGCUGCCGCCGCCCGCUGGCGCCCAUGACCCGGUGACCCCAGAGGGCCAUCAGGAGCCCGUGACCCCGGGGCACCGGGCAUCCGGACCCCCCUCGCAGGCGCAGCCGCUAUUAAGGCAGGAGGCUAAAGGGGAGGAGGAGGAAGGGGAGGAGACAGGCGUCCAGGGCGCCUGGGGAACCGCCACCGCCGAGCCGGGGUGGCGAGCGUGGGGGAAAGCCGCUGAGGCGGCCGCGGCCGAGGAGGGCCAGGUGGAGGCCCGGGGCGCCGCGGCGGCGGGGUCAGGCUCCCCGGCGGGAGGCGCGGGUGGCGGCCGCGGGAGCUGGCGGCGGCUCCUAGCCUGGCUGCGGCGGCCGCCCCAGUGCUGCCCCUGUGCGGCGCCCCUUCCUCGCUCCGCCGCGCACUGUUGUCAUGGAGGAACCAAGAUGGCGGCUCUGGCCUACAACCUGGGCAAGCGGGAGAUCAACCACUACUUCAGCGUGAGGAGCGCCAAGGUGCUGGCGCUGGUGGCCGUGCUGCUCCUCGCAGCGUGCCACCUCGCCUCCCGCCGCUACCGAGGCAAUGAUUCAUGUGAAUACCUUCUCUCAAGUGGCAGAUUUCUUGGAGAGAAAGUUUGGCAACCUCACAGUUGCAUGAUGCAUAAAUACAAAAUCAGUGAAGCAAAGAACUGUCUUGUAGAUAAACAUAUUGCAUUUAUUGGAGAUUCCAGAAUUCGUCAGUUGUUUUAUUCUUUUGUAAAAAUAAUUAAUCCCCAAUUCAAAGAAGAAGGAAAUAAGCAUGGAAACAUUCCUUUUGAAGACAAGAUUUCAUCAGUUAAAGUGGAUUUUCUAUGGCAUCCAGAAGUUAAUGGUUCUAUGAAACAGUGUAUCAAAGUAUGGACUGAGGAUUCUGUUGCAAAGCCCCAUGUGAUUGUAGCAGGAGCUGCCACAUGGUCUAUCAAGAUUCACAAUGGUAGCAACGAAGCUCUUUCCCAAUAUAAAAUGAACAUUACCUCCAUAGCACCACUUUUAGAAAAACUGGCAAAGACUAGUGAUGUUUAUUGGGUCUUACAAGAUCCUGUUUAUGAAGAUCUAUUAAGUGAAAAUAGGAAAAUGAUCACUAAUGAGAAGAUAGAUGCCUACAAUGAAGCUGCAGUCAGCAUUUUGAAUAGUAGCACCAGAAAUUCUAAAUCAAAUGUUAAGAUGUUCAGUGUUUCUAAAUUAAUUGCUCAAGAAACCAUCACAGAGUCUUUGGAUGGCUUACAUCUUCCUGAAUCAAGCAGAGAAACUAGUGCAAUGAUUCUUAUGAACGUGUAUUGCAAUAAGAUUUUGAAGCCUGUAGAUGGUUCCUGUUGUCAACCUCGGCCUCCUCUUACCCUCAUACAGAAGCUAGCUGCUUGUUUUUUUACUUUAUCUAUUAUCGGAUAUUUAAUUUUUUAUAUAAUUCAUCGUAACACUCAUCGGAAGAAUAAGCCAUGUACUGAUUUGGAAAGUGGAGAGGAAAAGAAAAAUAUUAUCAAUACCUCUGUGUCUCCAUUAGAAAUACUUUUACAGUCUUUCUGCAAACUUGGCCUGAUAAUGGCUUAUUUCUAUAUGUGUGACCGUGCAAAUCUAUUUAUGAAGGAAAACAAAUUUUAUACACAUUCAACUUUCUUUAUUCCAAUUAUCUACAUCUUGGUUUUGGGAGUAUUUUACAAUGAAAAUACUAAGGAGACUAAAGUGUUAAAUAGAGAACAAACAGAUGAAUGGAAAGGCUGGAUGCAACUUGUGAUUCUGAUUUAUCAUAUCUCUGGAGCAAGUACAUUUUUGCCUGUGUACAUGCACAUCCGGGUUCUGGUUGCUGCAUACCUAUUUCAGACAGGGUAUGGGCAUUUCUCAUACUUUUGGAUCAAAGGAGACUUUGGAAUUCAUAGAGUCUGUCAGGUCUUAUUUCGUCUCAAUUUCCUGGUAGUGGUGUUAUGUAUAGUAAUGGAUCGGCCUUAUCAAUUCUAUUACUUUGUCCCCUUGGUCACUGUAUGGUUCAUGGUCAUAUAUGUUACUUUAGCACUAUGGCCACAAAUAAUCCAAAAAAAAGCAAACGGAAAUUGUUUCUGGCAUUUUGGCUUACUGUUGAAACUAGCCUUCUUGCUGUUAUGUAUAUGUUUUUUGGCAUAUUCUCAGGGUGCAUUUGAGAAGAUCUUUUCUCUUUGGCCAUUGUCCAAGUGUUUUGAACUGAAAGGGAAUGUAUAUGAAUGGUGGUUCAGAUGGAGGUUAGACCGUUACGUAGUCUUUCAUGGAAUGUUGUUUGCUUUCAUUUAUCUGGCUUUACAGAAGCGUCAAGUACUUUCUGAAGGAAAGGGUGAACCUCUUUUUUCAAACAAAAUUUCAAAUUUUCUAUUGUUUAUUUCAGUAGUUUCUUUCUUGACCUAUUCCAUCUGGGCUAGCAGUUGUAAAAACAAAGCAGAGUGCAAUGAACUCCACCCAUCUGUAUCUGUGGUGCAGAUUUUAGCCUUCAUCCUAAUAAGGAAUAUCCCUGGAUAUGCCCGUUCAGUUUAUAGUUCAUUUUUUGCUUGGUUUGGAAAAAUUUCAUUAGAGGACUUGAUUGUAAAUGAAAAAUGUAAAAAUAAUGCUGUGAAAUUCAGAUGUAUAUGAAGUGAAAAAACUGCAUCAAAACAUUUAACAGAUGAGAUUACUGCUCUGAGGACCAGAUGCCAGGCCAAAGACUCAAGCUGUUGGUACACAUUUGCUCUAGGCACAGGGCAGUGACCACAUCUGUGGACACUUGCUUCUUACCACCCACUCACCUGCUCUGAGACCAUCUAGGCCCAGUUCUCUGCACGGGAGAUGUGAACAGGGCAUGCGCACAACCGUCACAGCCUGCCCUGCUGUGGCGCACAAAUCCACGUCCACACUUUUGUCCUACAUGCUUUCCAUGGGCUGCUUUUUCUGAAGAGUUCUAAUAUUAUCCAAUGGGGUACAUGUCAAAAGAAACAGGCAUAUUAUUGGAACAAAAUUGCAAGGGUCCAUCACUUCCCGCAUGAAGCAUGUGUACGCUUCUUUUUUGGCAAGGUGCUAGCCUUGAAAAUACCAAUGGAGUUAUAAGGGGAGAUGAGAAAGAAGACACCAGAGGAUUGAAAUCCUGGAUACCACGUGUUCCAGAUCAUAUAGCAUACAAGAUGGAGAAAGACUGACCUCAUUGCACUGGACUAUGAUAUGAGUGAACGGCACUUUUAUUGUGUUAAGCUACUGUGAUCUCAGGGAUAUUUUUGUCACAACACAGCUCACAAAAUAAUCUUUCCCCAAAUGAAAAUCCAUCCUCUCAUCGCAUUGAGUUUUCAGUAUAGAGCAAAAAACUCAUCAAGAAAUUCUCCUUUGUGUAUGAAUCUCAUGUUUAUCACAAGCUGACUUACAGGUUGUGUGUCAAUGAUUUCAUCCCACUGCAAACUGAAAUGUCAUCUAAUAAGUUCAGAUGAUAGUAACUGCCUUUUAACAAUUUAUAGCAAUGAUGUGGUGCAAAAUCCAGCAGCAUCCCUUGCUUGAUCAAGAUAUCCUGCUGGUAGCUCAUGUAGCUUUCUUUUCUCACCUCAAGUUUCCAUAGCAUCUCUCAGCUUCCCUGCCCCAGGGUUUUCUCCAGAGCCCCAGGAUCUUGUUCUGCCCACUCACAGCCGAAGCCCAGAAGUGCAGGGGAGUUGAUGCCCCCCUGGAGCAAGUCAGCUGCAGGAUGAUGAGUCUGUGGAUGAAAGUCUAAAACUCUUAUCACUUUGAAGGAAAAUUUUGAGGUGUAUUCUAUAUAGUUCAUUAGAUGACGCCCCAGGAGAACAGAGUUCUUCUUUCCAGAAUAAUAGCCAGAUCAACGACAUACUCUUUGUUGGUUUUCCUUCAAAACCUCCUAACCUCAAUCUUUCUGCUUCCAUAGUCUGGCUUCCUGGGAUCAUCCCCAAAUAUAUGACCUGUUUUGGGGGAAACCAACUAAUUCAGUAUUUCUGUUGUAUUGCUGCCUUUUGUGAAUUUCUUCUACAUGAGCGAUCAAUUUGAUUCCCAGUUGAUUAGAAAAGAAUUACAUAUUGUUUGAAAAUGGUGCAAAAACAGACAACACACUAGUUACUGAGGUGGCACUAGUGAACAGAUUUCUGAUUCAAUAAAAUCCACUUUUAAGAUCAUAGGACACAUAGAUUUAUAUUCUAUAUUUGUAAUGGAGCUCUAAUCAGUCUUUAUUAAUAAAUUUUUUUAACAUUUAUUUGAGAGAGGGAGAGAGAUACAAUGCAUGAGGGGCAGAG